rnacentral:rRNA from 2 species
CAACUUUCAACAACGGAUCUCUUGGCUCUCGCAUCGAUGAAGAACGCAGCGAAAUGCGAUAAGUAAUGUGAAUUGCAGAAUUCAGUGAAUCAUCGAAUCUUUGAACGCACCUUGCGCUCCUUGGUAUUCUGAGGAGCAUGCCUGUUUGAGUGUCAUGA